UCGAAAUUGAAUUUGUGUUUUUGUUGUUUGGCCAAAAAUAGAUGGCUUGGUGUUGGUGCUGCUGAUUGUGAACAAUUUGACAAGCAAAUAUUUUGUUUAGCAGCAUCAAAUAUGAUUGGAAUUAUGGUCAUUAGAAUGCAUUAAAGAGUAAGGAAUCGACAAGACGAAGCAAGAAAUUGCAUUCUGGUUACCAUGGAAAUUACUCAAUGGCUUCUUGGGAUUUGUGAUAAUUAGGCUCUUUGCUGUUUGUACAGUGUUUGCUUGUAAGGAGUUUUUCUGAAGAGAUGUCUGAAGGAUUGCUAGCCUCCUUUCUGUAGUUCAACAGCAGCUUAUAUUUUU